rnacentral:rRNA from 1 species
UACAGAGGUCUCAAGCGUUGUUCGGAUUCAUUGGGCGUAAAGGGUGCGUAGGCGGCGCGGUAAGUCGGGUGUGAAAUCUCGGAGCUUAACUCCGAAACUGCAUUCGAUACUGCCGUGCUUGAGGACUGGAGAGGAGACUGGAAUUUACGGUGUAGCGGUGAAAUGCGUAGAUAUCGUAAGGAAGACCAGUGGCGAAGGCGGGGCUCUGGGCAGUUCCUGACGCUGAGGCACGAAGGCCAGGGGAGCAAACGGG